rnacentral:misc_RNA from 1 species
UGAAUAUUUAGGUUAGGAUCACAUGUAUAUAUAACUCUAUUAGCACAACACAAAAAUCGAUAUUUUGUGUAGGUAAUAUAAACGCAGAACGAAGAAUAACCACCAUUUUGAAACUGGAGUUGAGCAGAAACCUCCAGGGACAAUGAUGCUUAGAUGUUUGGUGGCGGUUUGCCUCCUUGCUCUCGUCGCUUCCCAGGCAAGGGAAGAGUUUGGUAGACGCCGGAAAGGUGAGCAUGGAUUCCCUAAAGGCAGUAGUUCCGAGAGUAGCUCUCAUGGUUCCGACUCUAAAACUAGCGAAGAGAGUUCUGAAUUAGAUAAGUGGGAAAGGAAACCUCCCGGACAUCCCAGAUGGGGGAAAAAGGAUGGUGAUGACUGGGAGUCUCACGAGGUGGGCAGACGUCCAGGAGGGCACUCUCACGGCGGACAUAGUGAGCAUCGCGGACAUGGAGGACACGGUGGACAUAGUUCCCACGGCCCACAUGGCAAGCGACCACCACACCAUGAGGAUCGACCCAUGACAAAACCAUCGAAGGGGCCAAACAGCGAAUCCAUGAAGAGCAAAAUGGAUUCUGAGGCAGACGAUUUAGAAAGUAGGAUUGAAAAACUUGAAGAAAAUGAUGCUCUUGUUCAACUCAGACUUGAUGCUGACUUCGAUUCAAUUACUGGCAAAGCAUAUGCGUUCAAGGUUGCGAUGAAGAAACAACUAAGCAGAGAGACUGGUUGGCCACAAGAAAACAUUAUUGUAUCUAGUGUGGAACCAGGAAGUAUCAUUAUCAACUUCGAGAUCAAAGAUAACUAUGAUUGCAAUGUGCAUUCUGGGAUGGAAGAUCUCAAGAGAAAGCUGGAUGCAAAGAGUCUGACGUUCAUAUUCGAGGGUAGAUCUAUGUCUGUCUUGGACUACGAAAUGUGGGUUAACGAUAAGCCGUCCAUGUUCCAUCACAAGAAAUGGAAGAAAUUUGCCGUAAUAGGUGGCGCAGUCGGAUUGGUCGUGGUUGUUGCCUCGCUGAUACUAGCUUGUGUGAUUAUGUUUAAGGCAUCAAAGAAGAGACGUUUCCACAAUAAACGGGAUUUGGUGAAACAGGAUAUUUUGGCAAACUCUUUCGACAAUGAGAUCUACGGGAAACUUCCAGAAAAGGUGAAGUUCGAUGACAUAGCCUCCAUCAAAAGCGAUGCAACAGCGUGAAUCACCGGCAUGUGACGCGUGUAUGUCAUGUAUUUUAAUGGAAUGUACAACGACUAUAAAUUGAAAAUCAUUUAACUAAACAUUUGCUCUUGUAAAUCCACCAAAACCAAGCUCUGGAUUAUCAGCUGGCAAACUGGAUUAUGUCUAAUACGUUUUGAAUAGAUAGAUAUUAAAGACUGAUAUUAAUAAAUCCAUCAUUCUUAUAUUAUACGUAUCCUAGUAUUAAGAGACAACUAUUAUAUGGAGCAUCGCAUUUGUUACAGAAAAGAUGAAACUAUUUUCACGAACUGCUUUAUGUGUUAUUGCAUUAACAUAAUUGCGAGGACCAAUGGGAAGGAAAACAUUUAGAUCAUAAAGCACCUCCUUUCUGCUGAAUGACAAUCGCUGAAAUAGACAGCUAGACUGUAGCUCAGUGUAUUGAGAUUUAGGGUUAUACUGUAACACACCUUUUAACACGGCCGUGUCGCAAGAGAAUCGGCAUGGAAUUCUGCGAGCAAAUCUUCCCUUUGGCUAUGUUAAUAAACAUCCAUUUACUUUUAUAUGUUGUUAUAAAAACAUUGUAUGUAGCCCAGUCAUAUUUAUGAUAUAUGAUGUGAAAAUUUAAAACUGGCAAUUUGUAAUUCAAAACUACAUUUAAGAUGUGAUCAACUUAAAAGUGGCCCAGUUCAGUGCAGUCUUAUAUAUGAUUAUUUUACUAUCAAAUUUAAAAGUAUACUAAUAUAUAUUUUAAGAACAUUUAUUAUUUUGAUAGCUUUUAAACCUCUUUGUAUAUAUGUCCUAUGUAAUAGUUUUUGCACCUUUCGUGUCUUACAUAUCUGCUUAUGAAAUAAAAUAUUUUGCGCAC